CUAAAUAAUUUAAAUAAAAUAUCUACUUUGGAUGUAGAAAAUUCUUCAUAUA
rnacentral:tRNA from 1 species